GAGUCUGACCCUAUGUGGGCUUGCACUUCUCUCUAGGAGUUCAUUGAGGAGUUGCUGUCUCCCCCCUUUGGGGGUCUGGUGGCAUUCGUGAAGGAGGCUGAGGCCUUGAUUGAGCGUGGGCAGGCCGAGCAGCUCCGAGGGGAGGAAGCCCGAGUCACUCAGCUGAUCCGUGGCUUUGGUAGUUCCUGGAAGGCAUCCGUGGAGUCCCUGAGUCAGGAUGUAAUGCGGAGUUUUACCAACUUUCGAAAUAGAACCAGCAUCAUCCAGGGGGCGCUAACCCAGCUGAUCCAGCUGUACCAUCACUUCCACCAGGUGCUGUCCCAGCCCCAGCUCC